UUUUUUAAAUAAUCUUUUAGUUCACCAUUAGCAUUUUUGGAUGCUUUUUCUAGCAUGUCAUGAAUAGAAAUUUUAUAUAACUCACAUUUGAUAAAUUUUCUAAGUGUUAAAAUGUGUAGUACUUUCUGAUUAUCCCCAGCCCCCUGAAAAAACUUUCAUUAGACCGAAACCAGUCGGACCUUGUGUUUGUAUUAUGUGGUGACUCUGUAUAGAUUUGGGCUGAUUGCAUGGGCUUGUGCCAGCAAUGUAUCUUUCACGUGUCUGCCUUAUCAACUAUCAAUGGUACGUUACGUACCUACCAUGGUAACGGAUGACGGCGAAUCAAAUUCGAUUCCGGAGAGGGAGCCUAAGAAAUGGCUACCACAUUCAAGGGUGGCAGUAGGCAUGCAAAUUACCCACUUCCAGAAUGGGAAGGUAUUGAUGAAAAAUAACAAUACGGGACUCUUUUGAGACCCCAUAAUUGGAAUGAGUGCACUCUAAAUCCUUUAACGAGAGCCAAUUGGAGGGGAAGUCUGGUGCUAACAGCAGUGGCAAUUCUAGCUCCAAU
rnacentral:ncRNA from 1 species